rnacentral:rRNA from 1 species
UACAGAGGUCUCAAGCGUUUGUUCGGAUUCAUUGGGCGUAAAGGGUGCAUAGGCGGCGCGGUAAGUCGGGUGUGAAAUUUCGAGGCUUAACUUCGAAACUGCAUUCGAUACUGCCGUGCUUGAGGACUGGAGAGGAGACUGGAAUUUACGGUGUAGCGGUGAAAUGCGUAGAUAUCGAUAAGGAAGACCAGUGGCGAAGGCGAGUUCUGGACAGUUAACUGACGCUGGAGGCACGGAAGGCCCAGGGGAGCAAACAGG